AUGAGCAUAUCACUCCUAGAAUUUGAAAGACAUUUGAACAUGAAAUUGAAUGGGUCUGCCUCAGUAAAUAUAGGAGCAUAACAUAAAUAAUCAAAAAAUCUAAAAUGACACAACAAAAGUUACAGGAACGCAGUCAAAAUUUCAACCACGCCUGAAUUAUCCUACAUUCAAAAGAAAGAAUACACAGGUGUAAUAGGAUACUCAGCAUGCAUACCUCCAACCACUAAGAUCAAGCCUAUCAACUACAUUAUAGAAGAGUUUACUUUUGCUGAAUUGUUAUGUUCUGUUUUAGAGGUAUCUUUUCAUCACUGAAGAACACAUCAAAAGAUUUUAGUCUUUGACAUUCUUAUCCAGGAUACGUUUCACAGUCUUUCAUCAGCCACUGAAACUGGAUUAGCACCAGAAAAUGUUUAACACACACUCUAUGAGCAAAGAAGAGACCAAGGGGCCUUUGGCUUGCAAAGAAUCUAUAAAAUGUGAUUAUUAAUUUCAAGGUAUCACACAUUUAAAAUAGAGCUCUUCAGCAUUCUUUAUAACUAAAAUAAUGAAUUGAUGAAGAGCUGAUGAAGAGCCUGCCAGAAGAUAAUGUCAGAAUCCAGAAACAAAAUAGCUCACUUAACAACUGAGAUGGGCUCAUAAAAACCUCAGAACAGAAAUGAAACCCUGAUUUUCAAUUUAAUUUCUAAACACCACACUUGCUUCAAUUUACAAUGUAUUAGAGGAGUGGGUAAAAUUAAUCUUUAAAAUCCUCCAUCCCAUUACAGAAAUGGAAAAUAAAACGCUUACUGGUUUAUAGCUCAGUGGUGAUGGAUGCACGCUAGGCCUCUUCUUAGUAUGUACUGAGCUGUUUUCAAGAAAUGCAUAUAAUCUGGAAGCAAAGCUGACAAAACUAUGUUACUGAAAUUGCCUUGAUGCAAACACUGCAAAGGCUGUUUGUUUACUUGAAGAAGUCAGAGCUGGGUGGUGGAGUUUUAACUACUAAAUUUUCCAGUUCUCAUCAUCAGCAUUAGAUGGUGUAUUUAGUUCUAAAACACAGUUAAAUGUUCCUGGAAAUCUCGGACGAUCCUGUGCUGCAGCUGAAGCCACGAAACACAUCCAGCUCACAAAAUGAGAUACUCCGUGCUUGAAAAUUACAAUUUUUAAAAAGUGAAAUCCUUAAAAUUCUUGAAAUAUUGUCUGUUGAAAUUCUUGGAAAUAUUUGUUUGAAAAGAAUGUAGCUGCAUGUAGAAAAUGGUUGCAAAACUGCUAUAAUUUUGAGCUAGCAACACAUUCCAAUGUAUCAAUAUUGCACACAAUUAUUUUUUAUGAGAAGGCCAUACGAACAUGAUAAAAUUAACAAUUUCAGUGUUUCAAGAAUUAAUUUAAAAUACAUUUUGCAAGGUUCUUUUAGCUAUUUAUACUUUUUUUUCAUCACAGCGUUACAUCGGAACAUUAAAGAUUCUAUCAGAAAGGUAAGAAAGGAAAACAGUUGUGCAAAAUCAGAACAUAAUGUGAGUUUACGGUUGCUCUGUGAUUCACUGUAACGCAUUAUUAAUCCAUAUGUUAGUACAAAUAAAAUAUUUUGAAAAUUGUGA